rfam:Candidatus Nasuia deltocephalinicola str. NAS-ALF, complete genome.
CGGAGUGUGGCGUAGAUGGAUAGCGCACCUGAUUUGGGUUCAGGGGGUCAUAAGUUCAAAUCUUAUCACUCCGA